rnacentral:rRNA from 1 species
ACACAGGUGGUCAGGUAGAGAAUACCAAGGCGCUUGAGAGAACUCGGGUGAAGGAACUAGGCAAAAUGGUGCCGUAACUUCGGGAGAAGGCACGCUGAUAUGUAGGUGAAGUCCCUUGCGGAUGGAGCUGAAAUCAGUCGAAGAUACCAGCUGGCUGCAACUGUUUAUUAAAAACACAGCACUGUGCAAACACGAAAGUGGACGUAUACGGU